rnacentral:rRNA from 1 species
UACGUAGGGGGCAAGCGUUGUCCGGAUUUAUUGGGCGUAAAGAGCGUGUAGGCGGCCAGACAGGUCAGCUGUGAAAACUCGAGGCUCAACCUCGAGACGUCGGUUGAAACCGUCUGGCUAGAGUCCGGAAGAGGAGAGUGGAAUUCCCGGUGUAGCGGUGAAAUGCGCAGAUAUCGGGAAGAACACCCGUGGCGAAGGCGGCACUCUGGGACGGUACUGACGCUGAGACGCGAAAGCGUGGGGAGCGAACAGG